rnacentral:rRNA from 1 species
UACGUAGGGUGCAAGCGUUGUCCGGAAUUAUUGGGCGUAAAGAGCUCGUAGGCGGUUUGUCACGUCUGCUGUGAAAUUUCGAGGCUCAACCUCGAACUUGCAGUGGGUACGGGCAGGCUAGAGUGCGGUAGGGGAGAUGGGAAUUCCUGGUGUAGCGGUGGAAUGCGCAGAUAUCAGGAGGAACACCAAUGGCGAAGGCACAUCUCUGGGCCGUAACUGACGCUGAGGAGCGAAAGCGUGGGGAGCGAACAGGAUUAGAUACCCUGGUAGUCCACGCCGUAAACGGUGGGUGCUAGCUGUGGGCCACAUUCCACGUGGUCCGUGACGAAGUUAACACAUUAAGCACCCCGCCUGGGGAGUACGGCCGCAAGGCUAAAACUCAAAGGAAUUGACGGGGGCCCGCACAAGCGGCGGAGCAUGCGGAUUAAUUCGAUGCAACGCGAAGAACCUUACCAAGGCUUGACAUAUAGAGGAAAAGUGCAGAAAUGUACUCCCCGCAAGGUCUCUAUACAGGUGGUGCAUGGUUGUCGUCAGCUCGUGUCGUGAGAUGUUGGGUUAAGUCCCGCAACGAGCGCAACCCUCGUCCUAUGUUGCCAGCACGUAAUGGUGGGAACUCAUGGGAUACUGCCGGGGUCAACUCGGAGGAAGGUGGGGAUGACGUCAAAUCAUCAUGCCCCUUAUGUCUUGGGCUUCACGCAUGCUACAAUGGCCGGUACAGAGGGCUGCAAUACCGUAAGGUGGAGCGAAUCCCAAAAAGCCGGUCUCAGUUCGGAUUGAGGUCUGCAACUCGACCUCAUGAAGUCGGAGUCGCUAGUAAUCGUAGAUCAGCAACGCUACGGUGAAUACGUUCCCGGGCCU